AAUGAUGUAGAAAAUAUUAGUCUUUUUAAGAAUUUUAGUUUUAACAAUUUAAACUUAAUUAUUUUUUCCAAAUAAUGAAUUGAUUAACUAUUGACACAAAAUAACAUACUAAGCAUUCUUAUUUUUUAGAACUGUGAUAGUGCAAGAAGCACCUUCAUAUGUUUACAAGAAUAUCGUGUUCCUAAAGAUAAUAUAAAUAGAAUUACCAAUUUAGAAUUAUAUUUUGUAAAGAGUUAAUUUUACAUAUAUUAAAGCAAACUAACAUUUUAUAAAAACUUCUUUAGACAAAAAAAUAUGUAAUUUGCAUAAUUUUUAUAUACAAAGUUUUAAAUCAUUUAUGAACAAAUCAAAUUUUAUAUUAUUUUUUCAUUCCAAUAUCACAUUAAUUAAUGAAGAAAUUUGAAUUUAAUUACCAAAUAGUUUAGGUGAGUGUUUGAUUCUUAUUACCUUUAUAAAUUAAUGAUCUUUUAAAAAU
rnacentral:lncRNA from 1 species